rnacentral:rRNA from 1 species
ACGACCGGCGAACGGGUGCGUAACACGUAUGCAACCUACCCUUAACAGGAAGAUAGCCCAGAGAAAUCUGGAUUAAUACUCCAUAAUAUUAUUGGAUCUCAUGUUCUGAUAAUUAAAGCUCCGGCGGUUAAGGAUGGGCAUGCGGCCUAUUAGUUUGUUGGUGAGGUAACGGCUCACCAAGACUACGAUAGGUAGGGGGUCUGAGAGGAUGAUCCCCCACACUGGUACUGAGACACGGACCAGACUCC